GUCAAUGAAAUGGGAAGGGUGACCUCUGAUGGCUAGCAGACAGAAGUUCAUGGACUGGAUACGUGACACUUUCCUUUGUUUCCCGAUACUGGUGGCUUUUAUCCGGUCUCUCCACACCAAUUACUGAAAGGAGACACAGGUGUUUAUCAUUUGCACUUGACCUACUCACGCACCGCUCGUCUUCUGCCUCUCUCUCCCUUUGCAGACCUCGCUGAACCACGCCCCCCUCGCCACAAAGAUGUUGAAGUAAAUGCCUUACAGGCGUAUAGAUUAUGAUCACCAAGAGUAAUAAUUGUUCUUUUCCAAUUGUAUAAGCACACACCAAUGACAUAAGUUAAAAACAAUGACAAUAUGCAAACAAAAUGGGAGCGGGCAGGGUACAUUUAUAGUUCCUUAUAAGUGGAUGAAACAUGGUGGAUGAAGCACUUUUUGUACUUUUUCCACUGCUGGAAACACUUCUUUAAGUAAUUUUUCUGAACAUUUUGCAUGCUUUGCCAUCAUUUCAGGUACUAAAUUUUUUUCAAUGAGUUCUCAGUUUAGUCUUUCAGUCUUGCUAUUAUAUAUAACAUGUUUUCUGCAGGCUUUAGACUCAUUUGUUUCUUUUUUCCCCCAGCUCUGUACAACCAUGUGCAAUUCAUCCUUCCAAAUCAACGAUUCACUCUCUGUAUUCGACAAGUCUGUAAUAUGGGUGAUCGUUUGGUUGUCUUUUUCCUUGGUCUCGGCUGGACUGUCAGACCUCUUCUCCAGAUCUGCAUGUGCUUUGACCAUUACCUGGCAGUGAUUCAUCCAGUAGCAUUCCUGAGAUAUAAAGGCAUCCAAUACAGGACUGCAUCGGCAGCAGCAGCUUGGUUAAUAGGAGCGGCCAACAGCUCCUUUAUGCUCUUAAGCGUCCAGGACCAGGUGAACAAACAAAUGUAGAGAUGACAAGAAAAGACAGACACAACAAAACUGACAGAGGCAGAGUUGGCAACCAGCAGAAAAGGAAGGCCUUCAAAAUCAUCUCUCACAAUUUAGCAUCUAUCUUGAUUUGUUAUUUCCCUCAAGUAGUAACUUAUUUUAUGCGCAUAGCUAAAAUGAGUAAGCAUAUAUACAUUUGCAACGCAUUUCCAUUGAUUCUGUCAUUUAGUUUGACUGCUGUAUUAAUUUCUCCACUAGUCAGGAUGUAUAGUGAAGGCCAAAUAAAACAAAUGAUGUGCUUUUCAAAGCUUAGAGAACAAAUAAAAGGACAAUAAGAAAACUAAAAUAUGUAUUUAUUGAAGCUUGACAUUGAGAUAGAACAGUAUUUGAGAAUGCAAAUGUCUGCACAUACCUGCUGGCUGUUAGAAAAUGUAUACUGAUCAGUUUGCAAUUGCAAUUCAAGACCAAAAACAAAGCUUUCUCCUUAAUCAAUUAAUAAAGAAAAAACAUAGGAGUUUUUUUUUGGAGAACAAUGUCAGUAUAAUAUUUGGCACA
rnacentral:lncRNA from 1 species